rfam:Schistosoma rodhaini strain Burundi genome assembly, scaffold: SROB_scaffold0000335
GUCCAGCUGAAGUGUCUCAAAUAGGACAAAAUGCGCGUUCUGGAU